GUAGGGAAUCUUCCACAAUGGACGAAAGUCUGAUGGAGCAACGCCGCGUGAGUGAAGAAGGUCUUCGGAUCGUAAAACUCUGUUGUUAGAGAAGAACGUGCAUGAUAGUAACUGAUCAUGUAAUGACGGUAUCUAACCAGAAAGGGACGGCUAACUACGUGCCAGCAGCCGCGGUAAUACGUAGGUCCCGAGCGUUGUCCGGAUUUAUUGGGCGUAAAGCGAGCGCAGGUGGUUUUUUAAGUCUGAUGUGAAAGCCUUCGGCUUAACCGAAGAAUAGCAUUGGAAACUGGAAGACUUGAGUGCAGAAGAGGAGAGUGGAAUUCCAUGUGUAGCGGUGAAAUGCGUAGAUAUAUGGGGGAACACCAGUGGCGAAAGCGGCUCUCUGGUCUGUAACUGACGCUGAGGUUCGAAAGCGUGGGUAGCAAACAGGAUUAGAAACCCCGGUAGUCC
rnacentral:rRNA from 1 species